GAUUAAGUUAUUAAGGGCGCACGGUGGAUGCCUUGGCACUAGAAGCCGACGAAGGACGUUACUAACGACGAUAUGCUUUGGGUAGCUGUAAGUAAGCGUUGAUCCAGAGAUUUCCGAAUGGGGGAACCCAGCACGAGUUAUGUCGUGUUAUCGACAAGUGAAUUCAUAGCUUGUCAGAAGGCAGACCCGGAGAACUGAAACAUCUUAGUACCCGGAGGAAGAGAAAGAAAAAUCGAUUCCCUGAGUAGCGGCGAGCGAAACGGGAAGAGCCCAAACCAAUAAGCUUGCUUAUUGGGGUUGUAGGACACUCUAUACGGAGUUACAAAGGAAUAUAUUAGACGAAUCAUCUGGAAAGUUGAAUCAAAGAAGGUAAUAAUCCUGUAGUUGAAAAUAUAUUCUCUCUUGAGUGGAUCCUGAGUACGACGGAGCACGUGAAAUUCCGUCGGAAUCUGGGAGGACCAUCUCCUAAGGCUAAAUACUCUCUAGUGACCGAUAGUGAACCAGUACCGUGAGGGAAAGGUGAAAAGUACCCCGGAAGGGGAGUGAAAGAGAACUUGAAACCGUGUGCUUACAAGUAGUCAGAGCCCGUUAAUGGGUGAUGGCGUGCCUUUUGUAGAAUGAACCGGCGAGUUACGAUCUGAUGCAAGGUUAAGCAGGAGAUGUGGAGCCGUAGCGAAAGCGAGUCUGAAUAGGGCGUUGAGUAUUUGGUCGUAGACCCGAAACCAGGUGAUCUACCCAUGGUCAGGUUGAAGUUCAGGUAACACUGAAUGGAGGACCGAACCGACUUACGUUGAAAAGUGAGCGGAUGAACUGUGGGUAGCGGAGAAAUUCCAAUCGAACUUGGAGAUAGCUGGUUCUCUCCGAAAUAGCUUUAGGGCUAGCCUCAAGUGAUGAUUAUUGGAGGUAGAGCACUGUUUGGACGAGGGGCCCCUCUCGGGUUACCGAAUUCAGACAAACUCCGAAUGCCAAUUAAUUUAACUUGGGAGUCAGAACAUGGGUGAUAAGGUCCGUGUUCGAAAGGGAAACAGCCCAGACCACCAGCUAAGGUCCCAAAAUAUAUGUUAAGUGGAAAAGGAUGUGGCGUUGCCCAGACAACUAGGAUGUUGGCUUAGAAGCAGCCAUCAUUUAAAGAGUGCGUAAUAGCUCACUAGUCGAGUGACACUGCGCCGAAAAUGUACCGGGGCUAAACAUAUUACCGAAGCUGUGGAUUGUCCGUAGGACAAUGGUAGGAGAGCGUUCUAAGGGCGUUGAAGCAUGAUCGCAAGGACAUGUGGAGCGCUUAGAAGUGAGAAUGCCGGUGUGAGUAGCGAAAGACGGGUGAGAAUCCCGUCCACCGAUUGACUAAGGUUUCCAGAGGAAGGCUCGUCCGCUCUGGGUUAGUCGGGUCCUAAGCUGAGGCCGACAGGCGUAGGCGAUGGAUAACAGGUUGAUAUUCCUGUACCACCUAGCAUCGUUUUAAUCGAUGGGGGGACGCAGUAGGAUAGGCGAAGCGUACGAUUGGAUUGUACGUCNNNNNNNNNNNNNNNNNNNNNNNNNNNNNNNNNNNNNNNNNNNNNNNNNNNNNNNNNNNNNNNNNNNNNNNNNNNNNNNNNNNNNNNNNNNNNNNNNNNUGUUAGCUUCUGCGAAGCUACGAAUCGAAGCCCCAGUAAACGGCGGCCGUAACUAUAACGGUCCUAAGGUAGCGAAAUUCCUUGUCGGGUAAGUUCCGACCCGCACGAAAGGCGUAACGAUUUGGGCACUGUCUCAACGAGAGACUCGGUGAAAUCAUAGUACCUGUGAAGAUGCAGGUUACCCGCGACAGGACGGAAAGACCCCGUGGAGCUUUACUGUAGCCUGAUAUUGAAAUUCGGCACAGCUUGUACAGGAUAGGUAGGAGCCUUUGAAACGUGAGCGCUAGCUUACGUGGAGGCGCUGGUGGGAUACUACCCUAGCUGUGUUGGCUUUCUAACCCGCACCACUUAUCGUGGUGGGAGACAGUGUCAGGCGGGCAGUUUGACUGGGGCGGUCGCCUCCUAAAAGGUAACGGAGGCGCUCAAAGGUUCCCUCAGAAUGGUUGGAAAUCAUUCAUAGAGUGUAAAGGCAUAAGGGAGCUUGACUGCGAGACCUACAAGUCGAGCAGGGUCGAAAGACGGACUUAGUGAUCCGGUGGUUCCGCAUGGAAGGGCCAUCGCUCAACGGAUAAAAGCUACCCCGGGGAUAACAGGCUUAUCUCCCCCAAGAGUUCACAUCGACGGGGAGGUUUGGCACCUCGAUGUCGGCUCAUCGCAUCCUGGGGCUGUAGUCGGUCCCAAGGGUUGGGCUGUUCGCCCAUUAAAGCGGUACGCGAGCUGGGUUCAGAACGUCGUGAGACAGUUCGGUCCCUAUCCGUCGUGGGCGUAGGAAAUUUGAGAGGAGCUGUCCUUAGUACGAGAGGACCGGGAUGGACAUACCUCUGGUGUACCAGUUGUCGUGCCAACGGCAUAGCUGGGUAGCUAUGUAUGGACGGGAUAAGUGCUGAAAGCAUCUAAGCAUGAAGCCCCCCUCAAGAUGAGAUUUCCCAACUUCGGUUAUAAGAUCCCUCAAAGAUGAUGAGGUUAAUAGGUUCGAGGUGGAAGCGUGGUGACACGUGGAGCUGACGAAUACUAAUCGAUCGAAGACUUAAUCAA
rnacentral:rRNA from 1 species